GACGAACGCUGGCGGCGUGCUUAACACAUGCAAGUCGAGCGGUAAGGCCCUUUCGGGGUACACGAGCGGCGAACGGGUGAGUAACACGUGGGUGACCUGCCCUCAGCUCUGGGAUAAGCCCUGGGAAACCGGGUCUAAUACUGGAUAUGACUCCAUGACGCAUGUUGUGGGUGAAAGCCUUGNGCGGCUGAGGAUGGGCCCGCGGCCUAUCAGCUUGUUGGUGGGGUGANGGGCCUACCAAGGCGACGACGGGUA
rnacentral:rRNA from 1 species